rnacentral:tRNA from 1 species
GGACUAGUAGUUUAGGGCAGAACACUGACAUGUCAGGUCAGAGGGGCAUGAUUGCCUAGUCAG